GGGGUUGUGGCUCAGUGGUAAAGUGCUUGCCUUGCAUGCAUAAGGCACUGGGUUCGAUUCUCAGCACCCCA
rnacentral:tRNA from 1 species